rnacentral:rRNA from 1 species
GGGGGCACGGGGGGCAGGCCUAACACAUGCAAGUCGUACGGGAUCAGGGGCAACCCUGGUCCAGUGGCGAACGGGUGCGUAACACGUGAAGAACUUGUCCUUCGGCGGGGGAUAGCCGGCCCAACGGCCGGGUAAUACCGCGUACGACCAGACUGGGGCAUCCCGGACUGGUGAAAGCAGCAAUGCACCGAUGGAGAGCUUCGCGGCCUAUCAGCUAGUUGGUGAGGUAAUGGCUCACCAAGGCGACGACGGGUAGCUGGUCUGAGAGGAUGAUCAGCCACAUUGGGACUGAGACACGGCCCAGACUCCUACGGGAGGCAGCAGUGGGGAAUAUUGCGCAAUGGGCGAAAGCCUGACGCAGCGACGCCGCGUGUGGGAUGACGGCCUUCGGGUUGUAAACCACUGUCGGGAGGGACGAAGAUCUGACGGUACCUCCAAAG